GAGGGGGAAAAAAUGGCAAUUGAUUAAUUUGAGAACCAUGUAAUGCUUAUAUAAGCUGAUAUUGGCCCGCUACCAUUUUCUUGUAGUAAAAACGAACGGAAGUCCCUAGAACUUCAAGACAAAAAACAUCCCAACAGAGACCAAAAGCUACCCAGAGCAGAAGUUUUGC